AGCGAACGCUGGCGGCAGGCCUAACACAUGCAAGUCGAACGAACCCUUCGGGGUUGGUGGCGGACGGGUGAGUAACACGUGGGAACGUGCCUUUAGGUUCGGAAUAACUCAGGGAAACUUGUGCUAAUACCGAAUGUGCCCUUCGGGGGAAAGAUUUGUCGCCUUUAGAGCGGCCCGCGUCUGAUUAGCUAGUUGGUGAGGUAAUGGCUCACCAAGGCUACGAUCAGUAGCUGGUCUGAGAGGAUGACCAGCCACAUUGGGACUGAGACACGGCCCAAACUCCUACGGGAGGCAGCAGUGGGGAAGCUUGCGCAAUGGGCGAAAGCCUGACGCAGCCAUGCCGCGUGGAUGAUGAAGGUCUUAGGAUUGUAAAAUCCUUUCACCGGUGAAGAUAAUGACUGUAGCCGGAGAAGAAGCCCCGGCUAACUUCGUGCCAGCCGCCGCCGUAACAC
rnacentral:rRNA from 1 species